GUGUCAGCAGCCGCGGUAAUACGUAGGUGGCAAGCGUUGUCCGGAAUUAUUGGGCGUAAAGCGCGCGCAGGCGGUCCUUUAAGUCUGAUGUGAAAUCACGUGGCUCAACCACGUGCGGUCAUUGGAAACUGGAGGACUUGAGUGCAGAAGAGGAAAGUGGAAUUCCAAGUGUAGCGGUGAAAUGCGUAGAGAUUUGGAGGAACACCAGUGGCGAAGGCGACUUUCUGGUCUGUAACUGACGCUGAGGCGCGAAAGCGUGGGGAGCAAACAGGAUUAGAAACCCCAGUAGUCC
rnacentral:rRNA from 1 species